rnacentral:rRNA from 1 species
GACGAACGCUGGCGGCGUGCUUAACACAUGCAAGUCGAACGGAAAGGCCAUGCUUUUGUGGGGUGCUCGAGUGCCGAACGGGUGAGUAACACGUGUGUAUCCUGUCCUUGUCUUUGGGAUAACUUCAGGAAACUGGGGCUCAUAUCGGAUAGGAGCUCCUGCUCCACGGGGGGCGUUGGAAAGUUUCGGCGGUUGGGGCUGGACUCGAGGCUUAUCCGCUUGUUGGUGGGGUAGUGGCUUACCAAGGCUUUGACGGGUAGCCGGCCUGAGAGGGGGACCAGCCACAAUGGUCCUAAGGUACGGACCAGUCGGCUACGUUAGGCAGUAGUGGGAAACAUGGCAGAAUGGGCGGAAGCCUGAGACAGCAGCGCCCGGUGCGGAAUAACGUCCUACGGGGGGAAAACCGCUUUCGCCGGAGACGAAGCGGUAGUGACGGUAAUGAAUAAAGAAGCACCGGCUAACUACGUG